rnacentral:misc_RNA from 1 species
ACACACGUGGUGCUCAGCAUGUUCAGCGCGUCACAUGUAGAUGAGCUGCUCGCCAGCACCGUUCGCACUUUGCAGCGCUCGCAGGUGCUGCUCGAUGAGCGGCGCAGCGUCAUCCAAGGCCGGCAAGGCCUCCCACCCGUGUUUUGCGUAGCAGCAUCUUCAGCCGCCGCGGCCUCCGCCGGCUCAAGCGCAGCGGCGCCGCACGCGAGCACGAGUGGCAGCUUUGCCGAUACCGUCCGCUCCCUCCAAUCGCUCGGUGAGUUUCGCUCGUACGUCGAGGCCGCCGCUGAGAUGAUGAAGAGGGUACGCGAGGAAGGCAUGGCACCGUCUCCGGCGAUGCAGCAGCGGCGUGCAAGGGGCCAGGAUUUUGCGCUGCUGCAAAGCAUGAUGCGCGGGCUGCGAGGGGCGAUGACGGCAGCGUGGCAGACGUCAGAGGCGACAGCCGCGCUGUGGGCAUCCUCCACGGAGGCUUGCGGUGGCGCUGAGGAGGCGGCAGCCGCCGAAGACGCGGCGUCGGCGGCGGCUGGAAGCGCCUUGUGUGCAGUGCCAGGUGCACACAGUGGUAGUACCCGAAGCAGCGGUGCACAGCUCACGUCGACGCUUAUCUUUAGCGCCUUCUGCGUGGACCUUGCAAUCGCGGUGCCCCGUGCGGCCUCCGCCGUCGCGGCGGAGCUGGCGUCUGUCUUCCAACCGUCUAGCGAUAAUGUCAGGCCGCCAUCACUGGUGUCGGAGUGGAUGAGAGAUGGCAACGUCAAGCUCAGUGCGUUGCUGCGCGACGUCGCUGCUCUGCUACCACCACCGGUGAAGACGCGCCUCGUCGCGCGCCUCGCUGACGUGCUGUUUCGGCCCUCUCCCGCCCUGCCUCGUUCCCCCAAAGAGUCCUCCGGCCACCCACUGGGGUUUGAGCUCUUGAGCGGCGGCCAGCUGCUUCUGCCGACUUUGGACUACUAUCUGCUUGAGCAAUAUCCCUCCUCGCUCGCGUCGCGGUGGUUUCUGCAGCCGCUUCAAACUACCGCUGAGCACCUCCGCGCCGACUAUUACGCGAGCGCCGACCAGUUUCACGUGCAGUGUCGCUGGCUCCUUCGACUUGUCUUGACGCUCUUGUACGCCUGCCAGUCCGCCGCCCUGCCACCUCGGCGUCAUCCCGGCCACCGCUGGAGCGUCGAUUACGCACCGCGCAACGACUCUACGACGCGUGGCUGAUCCCGCUAGAGAAGACGUUCGGCAACGGUACAGCGCGGCACGGCAUGUCGGUUUCGUUCAAUCGUGCUCUCGUGCAGCCCCAUGGCCACGUUGUGGAGCGCCUGCUGUUUGCCUCAUCGCCCGCCUCAGGUGUCAGCGGCGUCAGCAAGGUGGUGCAACAGUCACGUGAGUGGUCCGGUAUCCUGUACUCCGCACAGUACCGCCUGCUCCUCAUCCUCGAGAAGCUGGCGCACUCGGAGAUGGCGCAGGUAAACGGCACCAGUAGCACCUCUGCGAAGCAGCGCACUUACGAAGCGAUGCUGCGCCAGAACGGCGGUAAAGUAAGCGUCUCCCUUCUGCAGACCCUCGCAGAGGACAAGCAGCUCGUGCUGGACGAGACGCCGUCGCGCUCGCCGGAUGGACACCGUCUGUACAAGCUGCACGAUGGCCUGCUCGAUGGCAGCGGCAAGGCAGUGUUUGUGUACUUGGACGAUGGUGCGCUCUUCACCAAAGUUGGCAGAGCUCGCGCCUUCCAGCGCGUCAAGAGCGUCGAGGACAUUUUCAAGUCGCUUCAGUGACGUCUGUGUGCGUGUGUCAGCGGCUCACUGCGGCAAGGGGAUGCGGCGGCAGCGGCGGGGGUUGCUGGGCACGGGGCGGUACUGUGCAGAAAAAGAGAAAGAGGGCGCUGUGUGUGUGUGUUAGGUGGAGAGGGGCGAGGAAAGAUGUGCGGCGCCACUGCAGGAAAGGGUGGUUCAGCGCACACUCGCCACACCGCCCGCUGCUGCCAGUGGCGAGGCGAUGACGCAGGUUGCCCAGUCGAGAGGCUCCCCUGCUGUGCUGCCGACAGCUGACCGCUUCCUUUGGAGGCUCUACCUGCGCGCACUCAGGCACAUAUUAAGCCGAAAGCACGUGCGUGAACGCUGCCUCUUGCUGCCCGCCGGCCGAACUUCGCUGUGCCAAUGCGGCGCUAUCUGUCCGGCCAUGCCCACGGUGAGCUCUUCUUGUUUGUGAAACAAACAAAUCAAACGGAGCGUGAGAUAGCGCUCGCUGAGCGAGCACUCGAGGGGUGGGAAAGGAGGAGGAUCAGUUUAGCAGGGCAUUGGCGGCAAGCGUCAUGCUGCUCUGUUUCGUCGACGCCUUCCUGCUUGCCCCAUUACGCCUGUGCCCCCCCCCCACUCGCAUUGCGGCGGGAGGUGAGGUCCAGCAGGAGCGCUUUGGCGAGGCCCUCUGGCGCGCAUCCGUUGCCGAUGACAUCGUGGAACGCGUCCGUCUUACACGGUCGAGCGAGCUCCAGCGCGCCUUUGAACUCCUUCUGCCUAGCCUUCGGAUUUGGCGAGCUACGAGUACAGGGCUGCCCAGGUCGGCGCUGGAGGUGCGAGACGCACGCUUAGCCCCAUUUUCGCAGCCUCGUUCGCGAACGAGUUUCUGUUACAAGUGUCGUGCACACGUAUCGGUGCUUGUUCUCGAGUGAGUAAGUGCUGUCGUGCAGACGCAGAGGCAAUAAUCCCACCGGCACCGUAUAAGGGGAAGGAAAAAGGUAACGAUAUGCCCUGGCUCUGCUUCUCGAGUCCACCAGCAUCAACGCGGACAUGUGUGCCGUGUUGGAGACGAGAGUGGAGUGUAGGCGAAGUCGGCGGCUCCGCACAGAGCAGAUCAGAGCUGGGGCAUGUCCCUCUUCUUCGCCCCACUUCUCAGGCCCCGCUUCCCUGCCCCCGCCCUUCGGGUCGAAGCAGAGGCGAGAGAACGAAAGGCGUUGGAAAGGCAAGACAAGGGAGGUACGAAGGUUCGGCGCAUGCGACGUCCUCCCGCGGCUCAUCUUCCUGUCCUCUCCUGCAGAGGCGGCACUUUGGCGGUGAGAGGAUGCAAGCGGUGGAGGCACGACUCAGUUGUUCUUUGCUCAUGUGGCGGUGUGUGUGUCUCUCGUGAUUACCUGCUGUGCGCAGCCGAGG